GAUGAACGCUAGCGGCAGGCUUAAUACAUGCAAGUCGAGGGGCAGCAGGUCUGUAGCAAUACAGAUGCUGGCGACCGGCAAACGGGUGCGUAACACGUACGCAACCUUCCCGUUACUGGGGAAUAGCCCAGGGAAACUUGGAUUAAUACCCCAUAUUAUAUUGGUUGGGCAUCCGACUGAUAUCAAAGUUUUAACGGUAACGGAUGGGCGUGCGGUUGAUUAGGUAGUUGGCGGGGUAACGGCCCACCAAGCCUACGAUCAAUAGCUGAUGUGAGAGCAUGAUCAGCCACACGGGCACUGAGACACGGGCCCGACUCCUACGGGAGGCAGCAGUAAGGAAUAUUGGGCAAUGGACGCAAGUCUGACCCAGCCAUGCCGCGUGAAGGAUGAAGGUCCUCUGGAUUGUAAACUUCUUUUAUCUGGGGCGAAAAUCGGGUAUUCUUAUCCGCUUGACAGUACCGGAGGAAUAAGCACCGGCUAGCUCCGUGCCAGCAGCCGCAGUAAUAC
rnacentral:rRNA from 1 species